rnacentral:rRNA from 1 species
UACGGGGGGGGGCAAGCGUUGUUCGGAAUUACUGGGCGUAAAGGGCUCGUAGGCGGCCAACUAAGUCGGACGUGAAAUCCCUCGGCUUAACCGGGGAACGGCGUCUGAUACUGGAUGGCUUGAGUUUGGGAGAGGGAUGCGGAAUUCCAGGUGUAGCGGUGAAAUGCGUAGAUAUCUGGAGGAACACCGGUGGCGAAGGCGGCGAUCCUGGACCA